rnacentral:lncRNA from 1 species
AUGUUAAGCAGGGACUUAGGUGGGCAGGGCACAUUUCAGGGAAGUCUCUUACUCUUCCCUCUCCCCUGUCACCCCCUCUCUCUUCCUUUCUCCCUCUCCUCUAUCCACCUCUCUUCUCUUGUCUCUCUCUCUCUCUCUCUCUCUCUCUCUCUCUCUCUCUCUCUCUCUCUCUCUCUCUCUCUCUCUCUCUCUCUCUCUCCCCCCCUCCUUCUUUUCCCCUCUCCCUCUCUCCCACCUCUCUUCUCUCCUUCUCUCUUUUCCUCUUUUCCCCUCUCUCCCUCUUCUCCUCCCUUCCCCCCUCUCUUCUCUCCUCUCUUUUUUCUCUCUCCUUCCCCUCAUCCCUCCCUCUCCCCUUCUCUCCCCCCCUUCUCUCUCUCCCCUCUCCUCUUCUUUUCUCUUCCUUCGCUUCUCUCCCUCUCCCUCCCUUUCCCCCUUCCCCCUUCUCUCUCCCUUCCUCUUUUCCUCUCUCUCCGCUUCCCUCCCCCUCCAUCUCCUCACUCUCCUCCCUCUCUCAUGUCUCCUUUUCUCUUCUUUCUCUUCUCUCCCUCUCUCCCCUCUUCUUUUCUCUUCCUUCUCUCUUCUCUCUCUCCCCCUCUCUCUCCUCUCUUCUUUUCCUUCUCUCUCUCCCUCCCUCUCUCCCCUCUUCUCUUUUCUCUUCCUUCUCUCUUCUCUCUCUCUCCCCCUCUCUCCUCUCUUCUUUUCCUUCUCUCUCUCCCUCCCUCUCUCCCCUCUUCUCUUUUCUCUUCCUUCUCUCUUCUCUCUCCCCCUCUCUCUCCUCUCUUCUUUUCCUUCUCUUUCUCCCUCCCUCUCUCCCCUCUUCUCUUUUCUCUUCCUUCUCUCUCCCUCUCUCCCUCUUUCUCUCCCCCCUCCUCCCUUCCCCACUUCUCCUCUCCCUCUCUCUCUCCUCCUUUCCUCUCCUCUUUUCUCUCUCCUGCUUCCCUUGGCCCUCAACCCAGGUCAUCUCCCCACCACUGGCCAGACCACCAAGCCGGGGGGGGGGGGAGAGCAGUAAGAGGACAGCAAGUCCACGCUGUUGGCUUUGCCCGCCAGAGCUCAGCCGCCCCCUCCUCUCCUACCUCUUGA